rnacentral:misc_RNA from 1 species
UUAAUAUAUCCAUUAAGUAUAAAAGGUCAACAUUUUAGUUGACUAGUAAGGUGAAUAGUAAACAAAAUGACACAUAUUACAUAAGUAAUACAACUUGAAAUAUAAAAUGUAAUUAACACAAAUGGAUUGUUUAGAGUAUAAAUGAGAUAAAGUUAUCAUUAGGAUUUACGUCUUUGUUUCAAAUAGGAUUAUAAUACCUUGUACAAAAAUUGGUACAUGAGAGGUAAUAAUGUGAAUACUAAUUCAUAUAAAUAUUGUAACGAUUAGAUGAAUCACAUGGAUGUGUGAAUGGGAUUAAUUGCUCUCAUCAUGAGAGAAAUGGAAAUAUUUCGAUGUACAAAUGGUACAUGAAAAUCGAUUGAUGUAAAUUGCAAUUAACGUGAAUGGUAUGAUGAAUGCAUAAAUUAUAUAAAAAUGAGAUUUGAAGAUUUAUGCUUCUACUAUAAAUAAAAUUAAAAUACUAUGAACGAUAAUUGGAACAUAAAAUGAAAUAAUAAAACUUAUGAACAUUUAAUGAUAUUAUGUGCCUUACUAUACCUAACAAGAUUGGUUUGGA